CUUAACACAUGCAAGUCGAGGGGCAUCAGGAAGAAAGCUUGCUUUCUUUGCUGGCGACCGGCGCACGGGUGAGUAACACGUAUCCAGCCUGCCCUUUACUCGGGGAUAGCCUUUCGAAAGAAAGAUUAAUACCCGAUAGCAUAAUGAUUCCGCAUGGUUUCAUUAUUAAAGGAUUCCGGUAAAGGAUGGGGAUGCGUUCCAUUAGGUUGUUGGUGAGGUAACGGCCCACCAAGCCUUCGAUGGAUAGGGGUUCUGAGAGGAAGGUCCCCCACAUUGGAACUGAGACACGGUCCAAACUCCUACGGGAGGCAGCAGUGAGGAAUAUUGGUCAAUGGGCGCUAGCCUGAACCAGCCAAGUAGCGUGAAGGAUGAAGGCUCUAUGGGUCGUAAACUUCUUUUAUAUAAGAAUAAAGUGCAGUAUGUAUACUGUUUUGUAUGUAUUAUAUGAAUAAGGAUCGGCUAACUCCGUGCCAGCAGCCGCGGUAAUACGGAGGAUCCGAGCGUUAUCCGGAUUUAUUGGGUUUAAAGGGAGCGUAGGUGGACUGGUAAGUCAGUUGUGAAAGUUUGCGGCUCAACCGUAAAAUUGCAGUUGAUACUGUCAGUCUUGAGUACAGUAGAGGUGGGCGGAAUUCGUGGUGUAGCGGUGAAAUGCUUAGAUAUCACGAAGAACUCCGAUUGCGAAGGCAGCUCACUGGACUGCAACUGACACUGAUGCUCGAAAGCGUGGGUAUCAAACAGGAUUAGAUACCCUGGUAGUCCACACAGUAAACGAUGAAUACUCGCUGUUUGCGAUAUACAGUAAGCGGCCAAGCGAAAGCAUUAAGUAUUCCACCUGGGGAGUACGCCGGCAACGGUGAAACUCAAAGGAAUUGACGGGGGCCCGCACAAGCGGAGGAACAUGUGGUUUAAUUCGAUGAUACGCGAGGAACCUUACCCGGGCUUAAAUUGCAGUGGAAUGAUGUGGAAACAUGUCAGUGAGCAAUCACCGCUGUGAAGGUGCUGCAUGGUUGUCGUCAGCUCGUGCCGUGAGGUGUCGGCUUAAGUGCCAUAACGAGCGCAACCCUUAUCUUUAGUUACUAACAGGUUAUGCUGAGGACUCUAGAGAGACUGCCGUCGUAAGAUGUGAGGAAGGUGGGGACGACGUCAAAUCAGCACGGCCCUUACGUCCGGGGCUACACACGUGUUACAAUGGGGGGUACAGAAGGCAGCUAGCGGGUGACCGUAUGCUAAUCCCAAAAUCCUCUCUCAGUUCGGAUCGAAGUCUGCAACCCGACUUCGUGAAGCUGGAUUCGCUAGUAAUCGCGCAUCAGCCACGGCGCGGUGAAUACGUUCCCGGGCCUUGUACACACCGCCCGUCAAGCCAUGGGAGCCGGGGGUACCUGAAGUACGUAACCGCAAGGAUCGUCCUAGGGUAAAACUGGUGACUGGGGCUAAGUC
rnacentral:rRNA from 1 species